GCGACACUAUGUGUUGUUGGGUAGGGGAGCGUUCUGUAAGCCUGCGAAGGUGACCUGUGAGGGUUGCUGGAGGUAUCAGAAGUGCGAAUGCUGACAUAAGUAACGAUAAAGCGGGUGAAAAGCCCGCUCGCCGGAAGACCAAGGGUUCCUGUCCAACGUUAAUCGGGGCAGGGUGAGUCGACCCCUAAGGCGAGGCCGAAAGGCGUAGUCGAUGGGAAACAGGUUAAUAUUCCUGUACUUGGUGUUACUGCGAAGGGGGGACGGAGAAGGCUAUGUUAGCCGGGCGACGGUUGUCCCGGUUUAAGCAUGUAGGCUGGUUGUCCAGGCAAAUCCGGAUAAUCAAGGCUGAGGUGUGAUGACGAGGCACUACGGUGCUGAAGUAACAAAUGCCCUGCUUCCAGGAAAAGCCUAUAAGCAUCAGGUAA
rnacentral:rRNA from 1 species